GACGAACGCUGGCGGCGUGCUUAACACAUGCAAGUCGAACGGAAAGGCCUUUUCGGAGGUACUCGAGUGGCACACGGGUGCGUAACACGUGGGUGAUCUGCCCUGCACACUGGGAUAAGCCUGGGAAACUGGGUCUAAUACCGGAUAGGACCGCACUUUAGUGCGUGUGGUGGAAAGUUUUUUCGGUGUAGGGUGAGCCCGCGGCCUAUCAGCUUGUUGGGGGGGUAAUGGCCUACCAAGGCGGCGGCGGGUAGCCGGACAGAGGUGUUGGUCGGCGACAUUGGGACUGAGGUGCGGCCCAGACGCCGACGGGUGGCAGAAGGGGGGAAGAUUGCACCAGGGGCGCCGGCCUGGUGAAGCGACGCCGCGUGGUGGAUGACGGCUUUCGGGUUGUAGAAUCCUUUCGCCAGGGACGAAGCGUUUUGUGACGGUACCUGGAGAAGAAGCACCGGCUAACUACGUG
rnacentral:rRNA from 1 species